UACAGAGGUGGCAAGCGUUGUUCGGAAUCACUGGGCGUAAAGGGCGCGUAGGCGGAUCUUUAAGUCAGAGGUGAAAGCCCAAGGCUCAACCUUGGAAUUGCCUUUGAUACUGAGGAUCUCGAGACCGGAAGAGGUAAGUGGAACUGCGAGUGUAGAGGUGAAAUUCGUAGAUAUUCGCAAGAACACCAGUGGCGAAGGCGGCUUACUGGUCCGGUUCUGACGCUGAGGCGCGAAAGCGUGGGGAGCAAACAGG
rnacentral:rRNA from 1 species